AGAGUUUGAUCCUGGCUCAGAACGAACGCCGGCGGCGUGCCUAACACAUGCAAGUCGAACGGAGUGAAGGAGCUUGCUCUUUCAUUUAGUGGCGCACGGGUGAGUAACGCGUAGAUAAUCUGCCUUGGACUCUGGGAUAACAUCUCGAAAGGGGUGCUAAUACCGGAUAAGCCCACGAUGGCGUAAGUCAUUGCGGGAAAAGGGGGCCUCUGAAUAUGCUCCUGAUUCAAGAUGAGUCUGCGUACCAUUAGCUAGUUGGUAGGGUAAGAGCCUACCAAGGCGACGAUGGUUAGCUGGUCUGAGAGGAUGAUCAGCCACACUGGAACUGAGACACGGUCCAGACUCCUACGGGAGGCAGCAGUGGGGAAUUUUGCGCAAUGGGGGAAACCCUGACGCAGCAACGCCGCGUGAGUGAUGAAGGCUUUCGGGU
rnacentral:rRNA from 1 species